rnacentral:rRNA from 1 species
CUCCGGUUGAUCCCGCCGGACCCGACUGCUAUCAGAGUGGGACUAAGCCAUGCGAGUCAACGUAGCAAUACGUGGCAUACGGCUCAGUAACACGUAGUCAACAUGCCCAGGGGACGAGGAUAACCUCGGGAAACUGAGGAUAAACCUCGAUAGGCCAUGAUUUCUGGAAUGAUUCUUGGCUCAAACCUAUAUGGCCCCUGGAUUGGACUGCGGCCGAUCAGGCUGUUGGUGAGGUAAUGGCCCACCAAACCUAUUACCGGUACGGGCUCUGAGAGGAGGAGCCCGGAGAUGGGCACUGAGACAAGGGCCCAGGCCCUAUGGGGCGCAGCAGGCGCGAAACCUCUGCAAUAGGCGAAAGCUUGACAGGGUUACUCUGAGUGAUUUCCGCUAAGGGAAUCUUUUGGCACCUCUAAAAAUGGUGCAGAAUAAGGGGUGGGCAAGUCUGGUGUCAGCCGCCGCGGUAAUACCAGCACCCCGAGUGGUCGGGACGAUUAUUGGGCCUAAAGCAUCCGUAGCCGGUCCUGCAAGUCUUCCGUUAAAUCCAGCUGCUCAACAGAUGGGCUGCGGGAGAUACUACAGGGCUAGGAGGCGGGAGAGGCAAGCGGUACUUUAUGGGUAGGGGUAAAAUCCGCUGAUCCAUAGAAGACCACCAGUGGCGAAGGCGGCUUGCCAGAACGCGCUCGACGGUGAGGGAUGAAAGCUGGGGGAGCAAACCGGAUUAGAUACCCGGGUAGUCCCAGCUGUAAACGAUGCAGACUCGGUGAUGAGUUGGCUUAUUGCUAACUCAGUGCCGCAGGGAAGCCGUUAAGUUUGCCGCCUGGGGAGUACGGUCGCAAGACUGAAACUUAAAGGAAUUGGCGGGGGAGCA